rnacentral:rRNA from 1 species
AUUGAACGCUGGCGGCAUGGCUAAAACAUGCAAGUCGAACGAUCCCUUCGGGGAGAGUGGCGAAAGGGCGAGGAAUAGAAUCGAAUGUACCCCAAGGUGGGGGAUAGCCUCUGGAAACGGAGGGUAAUACCCCAUGUGCUCUACGGAGGAAAGGUUUACCGCCUUGGGAGCAGCGAUUCUCCUAUCAGGUAGUUGGUGGGGUAAACGGCUCACCAAGCCGAAGACGGGUAGCGGGUGUGAGAGCAUGACCCGCCGCAUCGGGACUGAGACACUGCCCGGACUCCUACGGGAGGCUGCAGUAACGAAUCUUCCGCAAUGGGCGAAAGCCUGACGGAGCAAUGCCGCGUGUGGGAUGAAGCAUCUUCGAUGUGUAAACCACUGUCAGGGUCUAGGAAUACUGACCAGACCCAAAGGAAGGGCCGGCUAAUUCCGUG